rnacentral:rRNA from 1 species
UGGGGAAUAUUGCACAAUGGGCGAAAGCCUGAUGCAGCGACGCCGCGUGAGGGAUGACGGCCUUCGGGUUGUAAACCUCUUUCAGCAGGGAAGAAGCGAAAGUGACGGUACCUGCAGAAGAAGCGCCGGCUAACUACGUGCCAGCAGCCGCGGUAAUACGUAGGGCGCAAGCGUUGUCCGGAAUUAUUGGGCGUAAAGAGCUCGUAGGCGGUUAGUCGCGUCUGCUGUGAAAACUCGAGGCUCAACCUCGGGCUUGCAGUGGGUACGGGCUGACUAGAGUGCGGUAGGGGUGACUGGAAUUCCUGGUGUAGCGGUGGAAUGCGCAGAUAUCAGGAGGAACACCGAUGGCGAAGGCAGGUCACUGGGCCGCAACUGACGCUGAGGAGCGAAAGCAUGGGGAGCGAACAGGAUUAGAUACCCUGGUAGUCCAUGCCGUAAACGUUGGGCACUAGGUGUGGGUCCAUUCCACGGAUUCCGUGCCGCAGCAAACGCAUUAAGUGCCCCGCCUGGGGAGUACGGCCGCAAGGCUAAAACUCAAAGGAAUUGACGGGGUCAUAGCUGUUUCCU